GGACCGAACCGACUAAUGUUGAAAAAUUAGCGGAUGACCUGUGGCUGGGGGUGAAAGGCCAAUCAAACCGGGAGAUAGCUGGUUCUCCCCGAAAGCUAUUUAGGUAGCGCCUCGUGAAUUCAUCUCCGGGGGUAGAGCACUGUUUCGGCUAGGGGGCCAUCCCGGCUUACCAACCCGAUGCAAACUGCGAAUACCGGAGAAUGUUAUCACGGGAGACACACGGCGGGUGCUAACGUCCGUCGUGAAGAGGGAAACAACCCAGACCGCCAGCUAAGGUCCCAAAGUCAUGGUUAAGUGGGAAACGAUGUGGGAAGGCCCAGACAGCCAGGAUGUUGGCUUAGAAGCAGCCAUCAUUUAAAGAAAGCGUAAUAGCUCACUGGUCGAGUCGGCCUGCGCGGAAGAUGUAACGGGGCUAAACCAUGCACCGAAGCUGCGGCAGCGACACUGUGUGUUGUUGGGUAGGGGAGCGUUCUGUAAGCCUGUGAAGGUGUGUCGUGAGGCAUGCUGGAGGUAUCAGAAGUGCGAAUGCUGACAUAAGUAACGAUAAAGCGGGUGAAAAGCCCGCUCGCCGGAAGACCAAGGGUUCCUGUCCAACGUUAAUCGGGGCAGGGUGAGUCGACCCCUAAGGCGAGGCCGAAAGGCGUAGUCGAUGGGAAACGGGUUAAUAUUCCCGUACUUGGUGUUACUGCGAAGGGGGGACGGAGAAGGCUAUGUUGGCCGGGCGACGGUUGUCCCGGUUUAAGCGUGUAGGUGUGUGUUCCAGGUAAAUCCGGUUCACUUUAACACUGAGGCGUGA
rnacentral:rRNA from 1 species